rnacentral:lncRNA from 1 species
AGACUAGCACCGCGAGCUUCAUUAGACUUCACCAAGCCUCUCUCUCACAGUUCAUCAGCAAGGCCAACAGUUGCUGAUUCCAUCGAGAGUAGCGACAACAGCUCUUCCAUAGUUGCGCCAUUUCACAUUAGCAGCAAUGAUUUCUGCACCGUGAGCAGCAGUGGAAGAUCUUCAUCCCCAGCAGCUUCCUCCUUUUCAAGCAGCUCCAACCGUGCACUCCUCAGCACCGCCGUGGACCUCUCCAUCUGAACCGUGACUUCCUUUUCUCCAUUGAACCACCUUGAGCCUCCAGCAGAAACCUUAGCCUCAGCUGAUUGUCCAAGGUUCUUCUCAAUCCAGCAACAGUGAUUGUCCUCCACAGAUCAGCACAACCCUUGUAAGCAACUAUUCUCCUUAUAAUUCUAGCACUGACUCUCUACAAGCAGUCCAGCAAUGACUCUCCAGCAGUAGCCCCGUCAGCCUUUAUCUCAUCCUCAACCGUCCCAACAGCAGUGUAGGAUUUUCCAAUAGUAGCAG